GUGCUCGCUUUGGCAGCACAUAUACUAAAAUUGGAACAAUACAGAAAAGACUAACAUGGCUCCUGUGCAAGGAUGACACGCAAAUUCGUGAAGCAUUUCAUAUUAAA